GACGAACGCUGGCGGCGUGCUUAACACAUGCAAGUCGAACGGUGAAGCGCCUUCCUUUUUGGUGGGUGUGGAUGAGUGGCGAACGGGUGAGCAACACGUGAGUAACCUGCCCCCUUCUUCUGGAUAACCGCAUGAAAGUGUGGCUAAUACGGGAUAUUCUGGGUCUGUCGCAUGAUGGGUCUGGGAAAGAUAUUGUUUCGGUGGGGGAUGGGCUCGCGGCCUAUCAGCUUGUUGGUGGGGUGAUGGCCUACCAAGGCGGUGACGGGUAGCCGGCCUGAGAGGGUGGACGGUCACACUGGGACUGAGACACGGCCCAGACUCCUACGGGAGGCAGCAGUGGGGAAUAUUGCACAAUGGGCGCAAGCCUGAUGCAGCGACGCCGCGUGAGGGAUGGAGGCCUUCGGGUUGUGAACCUCUUUCGCCAGUGAAGCAGGCCUGCCUCGUUUGUGGGUGGGUUGACGGUAGCUGGAGAAGAAGCGCCGGCUAACUACGUG
rnacentral:rRNA from 1 species